rnacentral:sRNA from 1 species
UGCUCAGCACCUCGGUGAGGGCUGCAGGCGGACGCCCUGUCUUCCCGCCCUCAGAGGAACAUGCUUUCUGUGCCAACCUGGGGCCCGUCCAGAGCAGCAGCAGCAGCGAGGGCCUGGCCAGAGCCCAGGGGCUCAGCAGCGAAGCUUCUGUGGAGAGCAACGAGGACUCGGAUCACGCCUGUAAAAGCUCAGCUCGCAAACAAGCUAAAAGUUACAUGAAGACCAAGAAUCCUGACAGCCAGUGGCCUCCCCGCACUGCAACUGACAGGGAAGGCUUUCUCGCUGAGUCCAGCCCCCAGACUCAGAGGGCCCCCUACUCGGGACCCCAGCACACUGACACCACCCCAUACAGUGGCAUUCCAGAAGGAGAGCAGAAACGAUGGGUGAGAAACAGCCUGACCAUCUCAGUGGAUCAGAAACACAGAUCUUACAUCCAGGGAGCUCGGUGAACUCCAGACAGGUGAACUCGGAGAAGAGCUGCGCUUAGACAAGUGGAAAUCAGAACAUCCGACACCGAGACUCUAGAAUUAGA